GAUGAACGCUGGCGGCGUGCCUAAUACAUGCAAGUCGAGCGAACGGACGAGAAGCUUGCUUCUCUGAUGUUAGCGGCGGACGGGUGAGUAACACGUGGAUAACCUACCUAUAAGACUGGGAUAACUUCGGGAAACCGGAGCUAAUACCGGAUAAUAUUUUGAACCGCAUGGUUCAAAAGUGAAAGACGGUCUUGCUGUCACUUAUAGAUGGAUCUGCGCUGCAUUAGCUAGUUGGUAAGGUAACGGCUUACCAAGGCAACGAUGCAUAGCCGACCUGAGAGGGUGAUCGGCCACACUGGAACUGAGACACGGUCCAGACUCCUACGGGAGGCAGCAGUAGGGAAUCUUCCGCAAUGGGCGAAAGCCCGACGGAGCAACGCCGCGUGAGUGAUGAAGGUCUUCGGAUCGUAAAACUCUGUUAUUAGGGAAGAACAUAUGUGUAAGUAACUGUGCACAUCUUGACGGUACCUAAUCAGAAAGCCACGGCUAACUACGUG
rnacentral:rRNA from 1 species